GAUGAACGCUGGCGGCGUGCCUAAUACAUGCAAGUCGAGCGAACGGACGAGAAGCUUGCUUCUCUGAUGUUAGCGGCGGACGGGUGAGUAACACGUGGAUAACCUACCUAUAAGACUGGGAUAACUUCGGGAAACCGGAGCUAAUACCGGAUAAUAUUUUGAACCGCAUGGUUCAAAAGUGAAAGACGGUCUUGCUGUCACUUAUAGAUGGAUCCGCGCUGCAUUAGCUAGUUGGUAAGGUAACGGCUUACCAAGGCAACGAUGCAUAGCCGACCUGAGAGGUGGAUCGCCCACAUGGAACGUGAGACGCGUCCAGGACUCCAAGGGGAGGCAGAAGGAGGGAUUCUCCCAAAAGGGGCGAAAGCCGAACGGAGCAACGCCGGGGGGGGGAAGAAGUUUUUGGGGACGUAAAACCUUGUUUUUGGGAAAAAAAAUUGGUGAAAGAAACGGGGAAACUUUGGCGGGAACCAAAUCAAAAGGCCACGGCAACCUCCGG
rnacentral:rRNA from 1 species